UACGGAGGGUGCAAGCAUUGAUCGGAAUUACUGGGCGUAAAGGGCGCGCAGGCGGUCGGGAAAGUCAGAUGUGAAAUUCCGGAGCUCAACUCCGGAGCUGCAUUUGAAACUUCUUGACUAGAGUUCAGUUAGGGAAAACGGAAUUCCACGUGUAGCGGUGAAAUGCGUAGAUAUGUGGAAGAACACCGGUGGUGAAGACGGUUUUCUGGGCUGAUACUGACGCUGAGGCGCGAAAGCAAGGGGAG
rnacentral:rRNA from 1 species